UACAGAGGGUCCAAGCGCUACGCGGAUUUACUGGGCUUAAAGGGUGCGUAGGCGGAGGCCUAAGUGUCUCGUGAAAUCCCACGGCUCAACCGUGGAAUUGCGGGGCAUACUGGGUCUCUUGAGGCUGGUAAGCGCCGCCGGAACUGUAGGUGUAGCGGUGAAAUGCGUAGAUAUCUACAGGAACGCCGAUGGUGAAGACGGGCGGCUAGGCCAGUUCUGACGCUGAGGCACGAAAGCGUGGGGAUCAAACAGG
rnacentral:rRNA from 1 species